AUGGCGGAUUUCAUCCCCGUUCCCAUCGUGAUCUCCUCCUCCGAGGAAGAAGAAAACACGUCCCCCACCCAAAACUCCACCCCUCCCCGUGUUUUUGCCUUCCCGGAGCAAGUGGACGCAGCUGAAGUUGAUGAAGAUGAGGAGGAGGAUCCUGAGGAGGUUGAGUUUGAAUCAGGGGAGGAAUCCACUGAUCCGGAUUCAAUCCCUUCUAUGUUUCCUCCUUCACCGCCAAGGCAUCGUCGCGAAUUCUCCAAUGUUUUCAUGCCUUAUGUUCCUCUUGAACACUUUCAAAACCUUGCCCUCGCCUAUGUCAACCCACCACACCCUUCCCCACAAGCCAUGAUCCGUAGGGCCUUGCAAACUGGGGGUGGAGACCCUCAAGUGGCUAUUAGGGCUUCAUCCCAAGGUGCGGGCCUAGUCAUCUUUGGCUCGUCUUAUGAAAGGGAACUUUCUGUCCUCUCUACCCCCUUCCACUGCCCAAUCUACUCUGUCCACCUGGUUCGCCAUGAUGAAACGGACAAUCGCUUCCUUUUUCGCCUUGGCACUGUCUCUGCCUUGAACUUAGAGGAUUUCCCCAUUGAAUAUUGGUUCCCUGAUACUAUAACCAACUCUGUCGUCCCUUUCGCUUGCCCUAUCCAGAUUGAUCCGGUGUGCCUUACAGGGGUUGACUACUCGGCCGUUUUGAUCUCUGUCAAAAGCCGCACCCUCACUGAUGUCCCUCACUCUAUCACAGUUCACGGCUUCUCGGGCCUUGGUGCUAUCGCCUCGGUGUUGGUCGUGCGCUCCGAGGAGCUGCCACCAGACCCGUCUUUCCCUGUCGCCACCGACGACGACGAUAACUCCAACGGUGGCGGGGGGGACGAUGACCACUAUGGCGGUGGAGGGGGUGAUUUCCCGGCCGGGAUGGAUGCGGACUUGGCGCCUCCACCGCCGCCGCCCUCGGAUAUCCACCAUCCGGACCGCGUCGUGUAG
rnacentral:rRNA from 1 species